GUAAGUAAAAAGCGUAACAAGGUUUCCGUAGGUGAACCUGCGGAAGGAUCAUUACCGAGUGCAGGUCUGCCCCCGGGCAGGCCUAACCUCCCACCCGUGAAUACCUGACCAACGUUGCUUCGGCGGUGCGCCCCCCCGGGGGUAGCCGCCGGAGACCACACCGAACCUCCUGUCUUUAGUGUUGUCUGAGCUUGAUAGCAAACCUAUUAAAACUUUCAACAAUGGAUCUCUUGGUUCCGGCAUCGAUGAAGAACGCAGCGAACUGCGAUAAGUAAUGUGAAUUGCAGAAUUCAGUGAAUCAUCGAGUCUUUGAACGCACAUUGCGCCCCCUGGCAUUCCGGGGGGCAUGCCUGUCCGAGCGUCAUUGCUGCCCUUCAAGCCCGGCUUGUGUGUUGGGUCGUCGUCCCCCCCGGGGGACGGGCCCGAAAGGCAGCGGCGGCACCGCGUCCGGUCCUCGAGCGUAUGGGGCUUUGUCACCCGCUCGAUUAGGGCCGGCCGGGCGCCAGCCGGCGUCUCCAACCUUCUAUUUUACCAGGUUGACCUCGGAUCAGGUAGGGAUACCCGCUGAACUUAAGCAUAUCAUAAGGCCGGGGAGAAA
rnacentral:rRNA from 1 species